rnacentral:pre_miRNA from 1 species
CGGGGGAGGCCGGAUCCUGGGCUGUGUCCCGGCGCCCUGUGCUCCGGAGCCUGCGCGGUUGGAUUCGCGCUCCCGCCCCGCAGCCCCCU